UCACAAAGGGUUAACAACACAGACGUGCCUCAGCCAAUCAGAGCGCGCCGGUCAGACGCUGGGUGACACUGUGGGGAGAGGAGCCGCUUCUGACCGACGUAGCUCAGAUUCAACAGUGAAAUAACUUUAGUGACUUGUUUUAAGACUGCAGGUGUGUGAGGCCCUGUUCACGGAAACCUGCCGGACGACAGAGAGAAAUCCCCGAAUCGGCCAGGUUUUGUUUACCUUAGUUAAAAUUGAUGGCGAGCCAACCCAGAUGAGACCAGAAGAUCCCUGGAUUGAAGACCCCUGAAGUGAGAAACUCUGAGCCAAGGACUACUGAUCUUACCCCUCACCUGCUACAGCGAUUUCAUUCUUCAGAAAAAAAGGAAGAAGGUGAAAGGAGGAUUUCCUAAAUCUCAAAACAUUCCUUGGCCUGGAAUCUCAACAACUUGUUCCUCUUCAACCUGGUCAUUGCUGACUUCCUGGCUCUGGUGAGUCUGCCACUGAGGAUCGAUGCCUUGCUCAGGGGCCACUGGGUGUUUGGAGAUGGCAUGUGCCGGAUCCUCGUAAUGUUUCCAACUUCUCGGCCAGCAUCGCACUCAUGACUGUGGUGGCAAUUUACCACUACUUCAAGAGUUGCCAGCGGAGCCAGAGGUCGUCUGCUCUUCACUGAGGUAGACCUUCACACC